rnacentral:ncRNA from 2 species
GAAGCACUGAGGGGAGCCGAAGCUCCCCUCAUAAGCGUUGUUGCCUGCUCUUUUCUUAUUAUUGGAGACUGGCCUGUUGUUGUUUUUGUCGGCUGUCGUCUCUGCACUGCGGGGCCCCCAACCGGGGCCAAGAGCAAACGUAUUUUUUUGAGCGCUGACCUGCGUUCAUCCAACGUGAUCCAACCUUGACUGCCGCUACCUCGGAGGUAGUU